UCCCUGGUGGCUUAGACGGUAAAGUGUCUGUCUGCAAUGCAGGAGACCCGGGUUCUAGCCCUGGGUUGGGAA
rfam:Ovis aries breed Texel chromosome 12, whole genome shotgun sequence.